AAUAUGCAAAUAAGCCCACUAGCUGGGCUUUUAUGGAAAAGUACAUGAAGAGAAGGUUACAAUACCGAUAGAGUUUAACGUGACAUUUUUAUUUUAAUUUGAUGUUAGAAAACUGUAAUGAGUACUGAUAGCUUUAAUUCAACCUUUUCAGAGCUUUAACUCCAGCGACUUGCAUUCCUGUGAGUUGUUCUGCCACUACACAUGUGCAGCAGUUGAAGUUGACACUCUGUGUCUUCUGCAGCUCUGGAAGAUAAAUGUUUAAGGGCCUUGCUCAAGAUCCCAGUAGUGGAAGCUUGGCAGUGCUGACUGAGCUACCACAGCCCAAGAGUGGGAGAUGACAACAUGCCGGGAACUUGCUGCUUCAAUGAGCGUUGGCUUGAAAACGAAAAAUACAAUUAAGUGACCACCGAAUCCCCGAGAAGUCUCCUGGAAAGUCUGUUAAAAACUUUACUUGGCUUUUCACCAUGGGAGAAUCUGGGCUUUCAAGCCAUGUAUAAGUAAAAGACAGAGAGGAAAAGGAGCGAAUAACUCUGGAGAGACAAAUGAGGGAGAGAAAAGGUAGGGUUCCCCUACACUGAAGUACCUUUCAUACAUUAUAUUUCUUGUGAAUUCAUGCCAAACAAUCUUGGCAUUUUCUUUAAUAUUUGAGAAAUUGUUUAAGUGUCGUUUGUGCGCCUCAGCAGAAAUCAAGAUUAACCAAACCAGUCGAUAAUUUUGCAGUCUUCAACUUCACCCGUUUCAGUUAGCCUGUGCUCAUUGUAGCCUCAGAUUCUUGUUGUUGGUUGAUAUGAGUAAAACCCAAUGUUGUCUUCUGCUCUUGUAGCCCAUCCGACUCAAGGUUCAACAAGUUGUGCAUACUGAGACGCUCGCAGAACUGCUCACUGGAUGUUUUUUGGUUUUGCACCAUUCUGUGUAAA